UGAAACCGAUGUGUGUGAAUUCAAGCGAGGCUUUUCUAUUAAAAAUUACAUGGAAUAAUAAUGGUGCUAAUAGCGGUAUAGCUUUAUCCUUAUAAUGAACUCUAUACGAUAAAAGUCACGUUAAUGAAUGGUGACACAAGCUAGAUAUGCUGUACAAGUCCAAUUGGGCUCCAGAUUACAACUGGUAUACUCAUAUUUAUUUUGUUAUUUAUUCUGUUAUUCAAAAUCGGACUUCUUUCAGGCCUUAAACAAGACAUCUCAUUUAUAUUUACGGAAUAAUGUGAAUUUGUACACGAUGUCCUUGUAUAGUUUUCCAGAUUUCUCCAAUUCCUAA